AGCAGCAGCAGAUUCACAGAGCCUCAAACCACAAUGGCAGUAUGAGGGAGAGGAGAGUGGCGAUUGGUGUGAUUUCAUAAAAAACAAAAAAUGUUCAGUAACCAGCGAUGUCAUUGAGGAGCAGUACCAGAAAAACCCCAACGGCAAAAUGCCCCUUCCUGGAGAGUACGAGCUGGACUUCAAAGCGAUGACCAAAACCAACCUGAAGACCCGCCAUGUACGCAAGAUCAGACGUGUGAUGCUGCCUGCAGGAAGUCUUCCAUCUGAGGAGGAAUCAUCC